rnacentral:rRNA from 1 species
CAGUAGCCGCGGUAAUACAGAGGGUGCGAGCGUUAAUCGGAUUUACUGGGCGUAAAGCGUGCGUAGGCGGCUUCUUAAGUCGGAUGUGAAAUCCCUGAGCUUAACUUAGGAAUUGCAUUCGAUACUGGGAAGCUAGAGUAUGGGAGAGGAUGGUAGAAUUCCAGGUGUAGCGGUGAAAUGCGUAAAGAUCUGGAGGAAUACCGAUGGCGAAGGCAGCCAUCUGGCCUAAUACUGACGCUGAGGUACGAAAGCAUGGGGAGCAAACAGGAUUAGAUACCCGCGUAGUCCCUGUCUCUUAUAC